GCCUGCUUAAGCCCUCCCGGAGCGCUCGGGGUUCGACCCCCGAGCACGGCGGGAGGAGGGCGCCCCCCUGCGGCACAGCCACGUCCACGAAGCCCCUCCCGGGGUUCUAGAAAGCGGAGGCCUCCGAAGGAAAGACCAAGAUGCAGAGAGAUGUCUAAAAGGUGCCAGAAGGUGACUAUCCAGCCCUGGUAUCACUGCCUGGUGAUUUCGUUUCUUUGAUCUUCACGAAUGGCCUCACUGGCUGUGAUUUGGACAGAAAUCAGCUGCCACGUGCAACAUUCUCCCAUGGGAACAUGUGUCCGCAGUACCUAUCUCAGAGCCCAAAUCCUUCCUGCCCCACAGCCUUCUCCUGGAACCUGCCUUGGGUAAGCUGAGAAAUUGGUAUGGGAGGUGUGGGGGUGGGACAGAGUGUGCAGGUCUCUGGCCACAAGAGAAGCAGGAAGGGAUAAAGAUUCCUCCCAAUGUAUCUCCUGGCCUGGGUGUUUCUGCUGCCCACAAGUAUGUUGCUGUGAUUCUCAGGUCAAAGAGGCUCUCAGUUGCCUCAAAAGCUGCACCCUCGGCUGGGCUUGGUGGCUCACGCUUGUAAUUCCGGCGCUUUGGGAGGCCAAGGCAGGUAGAUCACUUGAGGUCAGGAGUUCGAGACUAGCCUGACCAAUAUGGUGAAACCCUGUCUCCACUAAAAAUACAAAAAAAUUAGUUGGGCAUGGUGGUGGGUGCCUGUAGUCCUAGCUUCUCGGAAGGCUGAGACAGGAGAAUUGCUUGAACCCAGCAGGCAGAGGUUGCAGUGAACCGAGAUCGUGCCACUGCACUCCAGCCUGGGUGACAUAGUGAGACUCUGUCUCAAAAAAAAAAAAUACUGCACCCCGACCUCCUUCACUUUGCCUUCCCUGGGACGUGUACGCCAUCCCUUUGAUCCUCCUUCCUCGCCCCUCCUCCUCCUCCUGGAGUUAGCCUUCAUGCACUUGUUUAUUUGCUCAUCAUAGAUUUACUGGGUACCCUGAACACCCUCUGGGUCGGGCCAAGGCCAGGUGCUGGGGAGGUGCCCUUUAGAGGCCCCGCUGAGCCUUCUGGUCACGCAUGGCAAUUCCAUCAGCCCUGGCCCGGCACCCCUCUUGUUUGUGUCACUCAGCUGUGAAGACCUGUUGCCCAUGCUUGUCUUUGAUCUCCCCCAGCGGGGCUUCUGCUGGCUUAGCCUUUCCUCCCUCCAGCUCUGCCUGUGAGGUCCAGUGAUCCUUCCGGGCAGUGGACCCUGCUCUGUGGGCACCUCACAGGCUCCGCAGGAAGCUUCUGGCUUCCAGCACCCCCUCACCUUGCUCACACUUUGCCUCCACCCCUCAAGCAGGCAUGAUUCCUCAGUGAUGCCCCAGACUCUAUAAGGACCUGAAUUCAAACCAGUUUGCUUAGGGGACAUUCAAUUUGUAGCUGUGAAAAUGAAUUUAAAGUUCACCUGAAAAAAAAAGAACAAAA